GGUGAUGUGAAAUAGGAUUUUGGGUUUGUAUUAUAUAUUAUAUAUUGUUAUAAAGGUUUAAGAAAUUGAAUUUAAUUUAGGCGUGAGAGUAAUCAGGUAGCAAGCAAGAAGAACCUCUGCCUCUUGCUUUUGAUUCGAAAAUUGGAAGUAGAAGGGGAAGUAGCAAUCCUAGCAAGCAACAGCCUAAGAGAGUGUUUGAUAGAAUGAGUAGUGCAAACAACAUUAAUGGAUUGAAGGGAUAAAAUGCAUUUAAUUCUGCCACCCAAACUAGUUAUUUUAGCCUCCAUUGUUGUUAGUUUCAGGUUCUUGAGACCCCUGUUUAGUUCUGAGAACAAUUCAGGCCGAUCAUCACACGAAAAAGAAACCUUCACAACUAUGUU
rnacentral:misc_RNA from 1 species